ACCCUUUACUUUUAGAUGAACUUGAGAGAGAAGCAUUCUUUUUUUUUUUUUCAUCCAAUGCUCUACAAAGCUGCUGGAGAAGAUAUUUUCAGGAGAAAAUCCAGUCUCCUAUAAGUAUUUCCCCACAAUUUAAAGUUUCUGAAUCCCAUGGGCCAUUCCAUGACCUUUAUCAUCAAUUGGUUCGUCAUGGAAGUGAAUCGGGUGACUCUUCCGCGUUGAUCUUAUCGGAAAAAACCCAAGUCUCACGUCUGCCAAAGAUAAAGUAUAUAAGGGAGGAAUAAUCCUAAAAACUAGUUUUUAAAGUUGAAUUAGAUCCAAAUUCAGAUUCUAUAACAUCUCUCCUCCACCACCUCCUUAAGGGUCAUGUCAAAUUUUUGAGUUACCCGAAUUUGCUUCCAUGAUGAAUCAAUUGACGACAAACGUCGUGGCAUGGUCUCUCUUCCACAUUGAUCUCUCCUCUACCACCUCCUUAAUCAAAGGAUCACCACUUUGAUGUUGUAACAAAUGUGGUUGGACUGGUUGCAGAUGCUCUUGGUGACAAAUUACUGUCGGAAUGACCCAGUUGGAGCUAUAUACUGUGUUUGCAAUUUACACUAUUACAAACUGGUUCCACACUCAUGGAAAAUGUAGAUAUAUCCUUAUUAUUAUGAACAGAAAAGUCUUGCAAGUAUACAUGUUCAUCAGAGAGAGAAAAAUGAGCAUUGGUAGCAAACUAGCUAUAUUUACUAUCUAGUGUUUCUGUUGGGAAAUGGGAUAUUAAAUCAGGGUUUUCCAGUAAGUACAAGUCACAUCAAUUUUGGAAAGUAAAUUAUUUUUCAUCUCUUGCUCUCACUGCUUCCACCAGUUUUCUCGAGUAUUGAUGUUUGUAAAAUUUCCGUACCAUAAAAGAUUUGUAUACUCUGUCCUUUGUCAGUUUAACUUGCUAAACCAGCUGAACUUUAUUUUUUAGUUAUCUCCUAUUAAAACAAAGAACUUUAUUUUUUAGUUAUCUCCUAUCUAGCAUCGGUUUUACUGUAUUAUAUUCAAUAUGUUUUGGAAAAGUGAGGUAGGAGGCUUAGGGCAACAUAGAAAUUAGAGUGUGAAACACCAGAUUUUAUCUUUAUUUGAACAUAGGUGAAAGUUCAGGUCUCCUGGAUAGUUGUUUGACUUGUUUCUGUAGGUAUGUUGUUUUAAUGCAACAAAAUCCAUUUAUAAAAGCACUAUCUAGUAGCUACAAGGCUAACCCUGUUUGCCAAAAAUGAAAUUAUAUAAAACUAAUUCUAUUCGUUAAUUUAGCAUUCUCUAUUAGUAAUGAAUAAAUAUCCCUAAUGUUUUCCGUUUUAUUAUUGAAUGUCAGAAAAGUUAUUGUCUAACUCAUUUUCCCAAUUAGAUUCACACUGAGGAAUGCAUGGCACUCAUGGUUAUUAGUUUAUUGAUUCAUGCGAUACUAGCAAAAGGUUUAUUCUUACAAACCUCUCUUACGCAUCUAUGUUAAAUAGCUUUCUUACAAACCUUAAUCCUACUGUAACUUUUUUUCUUAAUGGUUCAUAUUAAUCUUAGAGUUUGUGAGACAUAAAGUAUGUGCACGUAUUAGUCUUCACAACGAUUAGAUUAUAUGCCUCAUCGUUUGGAUUUGAUUUGGAACAGGUUGACAUUGAACUGCCAGAAGAUUUACCCUUAAAAGAAGCACACACAAUUGGAGAGAGCCUACAGAUAAAAGCUAGAGAAAUUCCAGAAGUUGAGGGAGCAUUUGUUCAUUUAGACUUUGAAUGUGAUCAUAAAGUUCUCGUCAAACUUCCCAACAAUCAGCCUUAGCACAUUUUACAGGUCCCUUGAAGAAUAUAACUUGAAAGAGAAGGGCAACCAUUCAUUCUGUUGGAAAACUUCUACUCAAUUUUAGUUAAAUUGUUUUUUAGUUCUGAAGAGUUCUACCCCCUAAAACUGCGUGUUACUAGUAUUGUUACAGUGUGUUACUCGAAUGAGUUCCGCGAAAGCUUGAUGUAAAUAAACGAAUUUUUGUCCUCUGCAUCUUGAAUGGAAAUUAUUUUCCCUUA